rnacentral:tRNA from 1 species
GGAGGGGUGGCCGAGAGGCUGAAGGCGGCAGUUUGCUAAAUUGUUAUACGAUCUCAAGUCGUAUCGAGGGUUCGAAUCCCUCUCCCUCCGCCA